rnacentral:lncRNA from 1 species
CACUGAAUAAGUUAAUAAUAUCCAAAGAAGUGAUGGAACUAUAAGUGAGGAGCAUGGUUGUUAAAUAAAAUAAUAAGUUGAAAAAUAAGAUUAUCCACCUAUAAUAGGAACUUUGUAGUUGUAAUCUUAAACAAUACCUAAUAAAGAUUCUAUUUUUUCUUUUGAACCCUCUCUUUGUUUUACAAUAUUUGUUUGUUUAGGACCUAAAAAUCACAAAGCCUCUACUUUUUAAAUGAAGAUUUUGUUAAAAGACAUAGAAUAUUAUUGAUAUAAAAAAUUAAAUGUG